CGAAUGAACGCUGGCGGCGUGCCUAACACAUGCAAGUCGAGCGAGAAAUCCCGGGUUCGCCUGGGAGAGUACAGCGGCGCACGGGUGAGUAACGCGUGGGUAACCUGCCCUCGAGUGGGGGAUAACCUUCCGAAAGGAGGACUAAUCCCGCAUACGUCAUCAGGACACAAGUCCUGAUGGGAAAGAUGGCCUCUGUUUACAAGCUAUCGCUCUUGGAUGGGCCCGCGUUGGAUUAGCUAGUUGGUGAGGUAACGGCUCACCAAGGCCGCGAUCCAUAACUGGUUUGAGAGGACGACCAGUCACACUGGAACUGAGACACGGUCCAGACUCCUACGGGAGGCAGCAGUGAGGAAUAUUGCGCAAUGGGGGGAACCCUGACGCAGCGACGCCGCGUGAGCGACGAAGGCCUUCGGGUCGUAAAGCUCUGUUCUUGGGGACGAAGGAAAUGACGGUACCCAAGGAGAAAGCCCCGGCUAACUACGUG
rnacentral:rRNA from 1 species